AACGAACGCUGGCGGCAUGCCUAAUACAUGCAAGUCGAACGAAACCUUCGGGUCUUUUGGCGCCUGGCUUCAUCACCCGUCGGAACCUUCACAUGGGUUCGACAUACCUCCACGACUGGGGUACCAUCAGCGAACCAUAUCUACUGCCCAAUGAUAUAUCGACUUAGAAUGUGCGCUCGUUGGAUUAGGUUGUUCGUAGGGUAAUAGCCUACCAAGGCGACGAUCCAUAGCUGGUCUGAGAGGCUGAUCAGCCACACUGGGACUGAGACCCGGCCCAGACUCUUACGGGAGGCAGCAGAGGGGAAUAUUGGACAAUGGGCGGAAGGCUGAUCCAGCAAGGCCGGGUGAGCGAUGAAGGCAUUAAGGUUGUAAAGCUCUUUUACCCGUGAUGAUAAUGACGGUACCGGGAGAAUAAGCCCCGGCUAACUCCGUG
rnacentral:rRNA from 1 species